rnacentral:lncRNA from 10 species
CUGGUUUAUUUUCUCUGAAUCGUGAGGUUGUAUUAGAGAUCAGGACCCUUCACCCUUAACUACUUUAGCAUGGGAUAUACACAUGUAUUUUUGAAAAAUAUGAAUUCAUACUGUUUUCCAUUCAAAUGUUAAGAUUAUAAGGGUUUUUAAAUAUUCUUUGAUUUUACCUCUUAAGCUGAAAAUCUUGGUUCAUUACAACAUUAACAUUAUUUGCUUUAUUCUACAUAUAAAUGCAUAUAAUCAUUUCAAAAUAAGCCUGGGCAACAUAGUAAGACCCCACCUCUACCAAAAAAGGUAUUGUUAACAAUGACUACUGGUCAAAGUUUUUUUCUGCUAGCUUUUUUAGACCUUUCCCUUUGAAGAUACAAAGUUAAAAUAUGAUGUAAUUGGAUUAACUACUCUGCGCUUCUGUCACCAACUUGAUACACAAGUCCAUUUGUUUAAAUUCUAGAAAUUGUUAUAAUUUGUUUUGCGAAUACAAAUCAUUUGACUGGCUUUCUUGUCAGAACUGUAAAACCAGGCACAUUUGCUCCACACAGGCCUCUAGCACAGCUACCGAGUGCUCCGGUAAGCUCGCCGUGGGUUAGCUCGCCGUGGAUUAGCUCACCGUGGGUUAGCUCGCCGUGGAUUAGCUCGCCGUGGGUUAGCUCGCCGUGGGUUAGCUCGCCGUGGGUAAGCUCGCCGUGGGUUAGCUCGCCGUGGGUUAGCUCGCCGUGGGUUAGCUCGCCGUGGGUAAGCUCGCCGUGGGUUAGCUCGCCGUGGGUUAGCUCGCCGUGGGUUAGCUCGCCGUGGGUAAGCUGGCCGUGGGUUAGCUCGCCGUGGGUUAGCUGGCCGUGGGUUAGCUGGCCGUGGGUAAGCUGGCCGUGGGUUAGCUGGCCGUGGGUUAGCUGGCCGUGGGUUAGCUCGCCGUGGGUUAGCUGGCCGUGGGUUAGCUCGCCGUGGGUUAGCUCGCCGUGGGUUAGCUGGCGGUGGGUUAGCUCGCCGUGGGUUAGCUCGCCGUGGGUUAGCUCGCCGUGGAUUAGCUCACCGUGAGUUAGCCAGCAGAUCCCCUCAUGCUGGGCCUUGGGUUGUUUCCAGUCUUUGGCCAAUCAAAUGUCAGAGUUGGACCCAGCACCUCCGUUGGGACUGCAGAGUGCUUGUCUUCUAAGUCUGGUUAGAAGGGCAUUUCCACAUCCUUGUGGAUUCUGGCCAUCGUAUCUUAAGGAUACAUUUCUGGAAGUGGGAUUGCCAGUCGGCGGGGAGAGGCUCAUCUGGCUUGUCUGGGUGUUGUCCCUGUCCCCAAGGGGCCAGGCGUUCUGCAUCCCCACAGCAUUGUAGGAAGUCCCUGCCCCCCUCAGCAGCCGAAUCUGGUGUCAAAUUUGGAUUUGGGUCAAUCUUGUAGGUGAGAAAUGGAGUCUUGGGGUGGUUUUGGUUUGCAUUUCUCUCUCUCUUUUUUUUUUUUAAUCAUUUUCUUGAUUUUCCAAACUCAUGAGCUCGUUUGAAUAAGGAAUAUUAAUCCUAAUAUUUCUCAUUUUAAGUUAUAAUUUUUAUUGAGGUAAAAUAUACAUAAAACAACAUUUUUAUCAGAGUCCUAUAGAUGGUUAAAAAAAUUCACCAUUUUAACCAUCUCUUAAAGUCUACAAUUUAGCAGCAUUUAAUACAUUCAUAACGUACAACCAUCACUUCUGUGUGCUUCCAAAGCCUUCAUCACGCCAGAAGGAGACCCCGCGCCCGUUCAACACCAUCCCCCCACCCUCAGUCCCCGACAGUCACUGCCCUGCUUCCCACUCAAGUCACCGACACUUUGAAAAUGUGCUAUGUUAUAAAACUUUUUUCCCAGUAUACAUUUUGUCUUUUAUCACUCCUGGGUUUUAAGUCAUAUUUAAGAAGAUUUUGCCCACUCCCCGGUGAUGAAGGAAUUCACUUUUUCCUAGUACUUUUGACCCAUUUGGAAUUUGUCUUAGUGUAUGGUAUGAAGUGCAGAUUCAUUUUCGUCUUUCUCCAAGUGGUUAACGUUUAACCACUUGUAUUAACAAGUCCAUCCUUUCCUCACCGGUAUCAUAUGCUACCUUAUAGACUGAAUGUUCUAGGCACUGGGGUCUGUCCCCGGGUUUUCAUGUCCCUGGGCCUGCUUGCCUACAUGGGUCCUGGUGUCAUGUGGUUCCAUUACGGAGGCCAGGAGAUGGUUCGGGGGCAGAGGACCUCUCCAUUUCUUUUGCAGAGUUUUCCUGGCUAUUUUUACACUCCUGUGCACUUCCUCUCUCACAUGAACUUUAUAAUUAGUUUUCUAGAUCUGGGGAAAAGCAUGCGGCGUUUUUAUAAGGAUUACAUUACAUUUAUAAAUUUACUUUUGUAGAAUUGUCUUGCUUAGGAGAGUUUUCUUAUCCAGGAACAUGGUCUUUCUUUCUGUCUUAAUUCAUUUUCUGUUGCUAUGACUGAAUACCACAGAGUGGGUAAGUUAUAAAGAAAAGAAUUUUAUUUCUUACAGUUCUGGAGGCAGGGAGUCCAAGGUAUAGGAGUUGCAUCUGGUGAGGACCUUCUUGCUGGUCAAGACUCUGCAGUCUCAAGUGGUGCCGGGCAUUAUGUGAGGGUCUCAUGAGAGACGGCAAAGCUGGCUUUUAUAACCAGCCCCCUGGUGAUAACUGCUCCACUCCCUGAGAACCCAUUAGUCCAUGAAUGGAUUAGUCCUCAUGAGCCAAUCACCUCCCCAGAAUCCCAUCCCAGCACUGCUGCAUUGGAGUCCAGGUUUCCAACACAUGAACUUUUGGGGAAUUCAUUCAAACCAUGGUGGUGUUAAAAUCGACUUUGGUGUCUUUAUGGUCUAUUUAAAGUUUUUCCCAUUUAGGGUUUCACAUUUCUUUUACGCAUGGGGAUUUUUAUCUUUUUGUUGCUGUUAAAAAUGGGUCAUCUCUUCCACUCUGUCUUUGAACUGAAAGUAUGCACAAAGAUCUCUGUGUGCUACUUUAAAUCCUGCUGUUUCUCUGAAUUCUCUUAGUGUUUGUAACAUCACUUUCUUGUGCUGGAAAUAUAACAAAGUAUUUGAUCCAAGAAGCAUCUGGCAGGAAGCCUGGGCAGGAGGGGCACCUUGAGCAUGGGCUUCCUCCUCCCCUUUCCUCUGUCUCUUCUCCUACCGGCUGCUUUCCUUCUCUCCCAUCUGCUGUCCACCAGGCAGGCGUUGCCAGACCACCCCAGAGGUCCCCUCUUCAUGUUUCUUGAGGCUGCGUGGGGGGAGGGCAUGAUAGAGGGAGGCAGGGCUUCGAAGGAGGAGGAGGAGGGAUGUAGGAGGAGGGUAGUGGAGGGCUGCAGAGGAGGAGGAAGAGGAGAAUAGGGAGGACAAAUCCACUCUAGCAGGGGAACGAAAGCAGCAUGGGGCAGACAAAUCCACUCUAGCAUUCCAAUCUCCCUAAGCCUUUGAAUCCCUUCUUCUACACUAACCAUGGGCGGCCAGGCAUGUCCAGUUAUCCCAUGGUGGGCCAUGUUUUGGCCCAUGUUUCAGCCAAGCAGCCAACCAACCAAUUAGAGCCCUUUCUAAAUGCGGAAUCUCUGCUUAGUGAGCCCGUAUCAAUAAACUUGGCCUGAUCUAACUCUGUGUUCCUCCUACCAUUCUCCCAGGCCCUCAAUAUGCAUUCCCACGGUCCUGGGAUUUCUAUGUAAACUGGAAAACUCACGUUCUCUUUGCAGACACCGUGAGGCUGGGAGUUCCACAUGUGCUAUAAUCCAGCCACUGGAAGGGCGAGAUUCUGGGUUUGAUUUUCAGUAGUCUCAGACCCGCAGCUAAAGGAGGUAAGAGUCUCUCUUGGGACAGUCAUAACUUUCAGAUUAUUCAUGUGACACUUCAGCUGGGAAUCUGAAUCCUGAGCUCACUCCCAUGAUACUUUUUCUGAGAUGGAGUCUCACUCUGUAGCCCAGGCUGGAAUGCAGUGGGGCAAUCCCAGCUCACUGCAACCUCUGCCUCCCAGGUGCAAGUAAUUCUCCUGCCUCAGCCUCCCGAGUAGCUGGGAUUACAGGUGCCUGCCACCACACUUGGCUAAUUUCUGUAUUUUUAGAAGAGUUGGGGUUUUGCCAUGUUGGCCAAGGUGGUCUUGAACUCCUGACCUCAGGUGAUCUGCCCGCCUCAGGCCUCCCAAAGUGCUGGGAUUAUAGGCGUGAGCCACCACACACGGCUUUUUUUUUUUGAGACAGGGUCUCACUGUGUUACCCAGGCCGGAGUACAGUGGUACAAUCACAGCUAACUGCAGCGUCAACCUCUCAGAUUCAACCAAUCCUCCCACCUCAGCCUCCAGAGUAGCUGGAACCACAGGUGCAGGCCACCGUGCUUGACUAAUUUUAUUUUUUAGAGAUGGGAUCUUGUUAUGUUGCCUAGGCUGGUCUUGAACUCCUGGCCUCAAGCCAUCCUCCUGCCUCCCAAAGUGCUGGGAUGACAGGUGUGAGCUACUGGUCCUGGCCCAUUAUACUCUAGUUUGAUGAAAGUGUUCAAAAGCCACCGAGAACCCUGCCUUCUGCAAGUAUUUAAUUAGGAGCACCCAGUGGUGAUACUAUGCAUACCUCUAUUGCCACAUCACACUAUGGACUAUCGGUGUUCUUUUUACUACUGGAAAUCAGCAUUAGUGCCUUUACAUCUAAUCAGGAUAAAGACCCAAUUCCAGGAACCCUCCCAUCCCCACCCUCUCGCCACUCCCCACCCUCAAUUAUUUUCAAGCAAACCCUCCGCACCUCUUACCAUGUUGUGUAUAGGUAGAAGCUAUUUAACACACACACAGUGACAUUCUGUCUAAAAUGACAACGAUCGUUUGGAGAAGUUUAUUACCACCCCUACCCUCCAGUGGGAUCUCAAUGUCACGAUGA